GGCUCUUUUUUAGUGCUUUGAAAUAUUCAAAGUUAUUCAUUCAGUUAUGGAUUGUGAAGAAGCCAUUGUUAUGGCUGCCUGUGAUGUAGUUAGGAGUUCUCAGCUGAUAAUGUUCAAUACUUAGAAUUAAGAACAACUCCUCGGGCUAAUACCAAUUCAGGAAUGACAAAAAGGUCUUAUGUUGUUGCUGUUGUAAAAGGUAUACAGUUGACCCUUCCAAGUUGUGCAAAUGACAUUCAAAUUAUUAUUGUCUAUUGAUCAUCAUCAGAAUAUUACUGAAGCAUACGAUACCAUUGAAUUAGCAAUGGAGCAUCGUAAUACUGGUGGUGCUGGUCAAGCUAGUGUUGUUGGAAUCGAUUUAAGUGGAGACCCAAUGGCUGGUAAUGGCAGAGACCUUUUACAAGUGUUCGAAGAAGGAAAGAGAAGAAGUUUUAAAUUAGCUGUACAUAUUGCAGAAAAACCCAACAGAGAGAGUGACACUGAUAUAUUACUGAGUACCUGAUUGUCUUGGUCAUGCUACAUAUAUUCAUUGUGGUCCUGAGGGUCAUAGCAGUCAAGCUGUACAGACAGUACUAGCUAAAAAAAAUACCAAUUGAAUUGUGUCAGACAUCUAAUGACAAGGCCGUACAGUUCCUAGCUAUAGUGAACACCAGUUGAAA
rnacentral:lncRNA from 1 species